rnacentral:rRNA from 1 species
UGAGGGAUAUUGCACAAUGGGCGCAAGCCUGACGCAGCGACGCCGCGUGGAUGAAGAAGGCCUUCGGGUCGUAAAAUCCUUUUGCGCAUGAUCGAGGAAAAGGACGGUAGUGCGCGAAGAAGUCUCGGCUAACUACGUG